GCCAGGAAUACAGCCAGCUAUUAUGAGCCAGUGCAAAGGAUGUCAUGAGGUUGCUUUGCUAGUUUAUGAACAGUUUAAUUCAUUAGGCUGUUUAAUAACUAAAAUAUAUCUAGUUCACAAAGUGACAACGUACUUCCAUUUGUUUUGACUACCAAUGGAGUUGGAGAAAUAAAGUCACCUUGGUCUUGAAGCAAGCAAGCAGAAUGACCAUUGUUUAAAUGAAAGGAGUCAGCGUAUUUGUUUUAUAGCACUCUGAUUGAAUUGCUGUGAUACUGUGCUCACCUGAUCAUGAGUGAUAUGUGAGUCAUUGCUUGGACUGAGAACUAAGAUGGGGCAGCAUGCUUUCUUAGAAUGGACUCAUCACUUGUUAUUAUGAGUUUGAAAGAGUUGGCAGUGCUAUUUGCUGGUGAGUAACCACAGCAGAGAAACAACGGUAUAAAGAAAAGCUUUAAGAUAUUUUAUGUAAAAAAUGAUCAGUUAUGUGAUUGUAUGCCAUAACUACCACAGUCCUGCAGUUUUCAUGGCAGUGCACCAAGAUUGGUAUAUCUUCGUGAUGCAGAUCUUUAAUUUUAGGAAAGCCACCUGUAAUGGGAGGAGGGUGUCUAAUCUCUGAUCCCUGAGAUAUCUGAUCCUAUACCAGUAACUGCUAUUGUGUCCAUCCCGUGUCUCUUCCACCAGGUAUCUCUUGGAGCUACUUCAACCAUCUGAUACCGCUGUGCUAUUUGCCUUGCAGCCUGAGUUUCUUCAAUGGUACGGCACAACCAUCAGCCAAAUAUGUGGUUGAAUAUAUAGCUUUCCCAACCUUAUAUCAAAACUUUAGACAUGACUUAGUACAAGACCAAGACUACUGGUGUUUUGAACAAAAGGCAGGCCAUUUGUACAGCACUAGGUGUUAUAUAAGGGCCAGACAAACCAGUAAAACUGUGUGAAGACCUAAUAGAAGAUUGCAGUGACACGAUGCAACCAUUUAAAUUUCAGUCCAUUUGGAUAAACUGGGCAAUUCAGAAGCAUCCAAAUCUCCAAAUUCCCACACAACAAACUCUGGAUAUCAGUCAUUCAGAGCCUGAAUUAGAAAAUCUGGGCAUAUUGAAUUGCAUGAUCAAUGUCUGGAUUUUGCUGUCUGAAUUGCCUCAUAUGCAGUCUAGUCUUUUUGCCCCAUUUGAUACUGGGCCAUUCAGAUUUUAGUAAAUAACCCCUACAGUGUUGAAACAAAAAUAGUAGCCAUGUUAGUCCAGUGAUGCAGGUGUAAAGUAACAUUAAAUUAGUUCAUUGUAUUAUGCUUUUUAUUGGACUAACA